CCUACGGGUGGCAGCAGUGAGGAAUAUUGGUCAAUGGACGAGAGUCUGAACCAGCCAAGUAGCGUGAAGGAUGACUGCCCUAUGGGUUGUAAACUUCUUUUAUAUGGGAAUAAAACGUUCCACGUGUGGGAUUUUGUAUGUACCAUAUGAAUAAGGAUCGGCUAACUCUGUGCCAGCAGCCGCGGUAAUACGGAGGAUCCGAGCGUUAUCCGGAUUUAUUGGGUUUAAAGGGAGCGUAGGUGGAUUGUUAAGUCAGUUGUGAAAGUUUGCGGCUCAACCCUAAAAUUGCAGUUGAAACUGGCAGUCUUGAGUACAGUAGAGGUGGGCGGAAUUCGUGGUGUAGCGGUGAAAUGCUUAGAUAUCACGAAGAACUCCGAUUGCGAAGGCAGUUCACUGGACUGCAACUGACACUGAGGCUCGAAAGUGUGGGUAUCAAACAGGAUUAGAUACCCCAGUAGUC
rnacentral:rRNA from 1 species